rnacentral:rRNA from 1 species
UACGUAGGUGGCAAGCGUUGUCCGGAUUUAUUGGGCGUAAAGCGAGCGCAGGCGGUCUUUUAAGUCUGAUGUGAAAGCCCCCGGCUUAACCGGGGAGGGUCAUUGGAAACUGGGAGACUUGAGUGCAGAAGAGGAAAGCGGAAUUCCAUGUGUAGCGGUGAAAUGCGUAGAUAUAUGGAGGAACACCAGUGGCGAAGGCGGCUUUCUGGUCUGUAACUGACGCUGAGGCUCGAAAGCGUGGGGAGCAAACAGGAUUAGAUACCCUGGUAGUCCACGCCGUAAACGAUGAGUGCUAAGUGUUGGAGGGUUUCCGCCCUUCAGUGCUGCAGCAAACGCAUUAAGCACUCCGCCUGGGGAGUACGACCGCAAGGUUGAA